rnacentral:rRNA from 1 species
AAAUUGAAGAGUUUGAUCAUGGCUCAGAUUGAACGCUGGCGGCAGGCCUAACACAUGCAAGUCGAACGGUAACAGGAAGAAGCUUGCUUCUUUGCUGACGAGUGGCGGACGGGUGAGUAAUGUCUGGGAAACUGCCUGAUGGAGGGGGAUAACUACUGGAAACGGUAGCUAAUACCGCAUAAUGUCGCAAGACCAAAGAGGGGGACCUUCGGGCCUCUUGCCAUCGGAUGUGCCCAGAUGGGAUUAGCUUGUUGGUGGGGUAACGGCUCACCAAGGCGACGAUCCCUAGCUGGUCUGAGAGGAUGACCAGCCACACUGGAACUGAGACACGGUCCAGACUCCUACGGGAGGCAGCAGUGGGGAAUAUUGCACAAUGGGCGCAAGCCUGAUGCAGCCAUGCCGCGUGUAUGAAGAAGGCCUUCGGGUUGUAAAGUACUUUCAGCGGGGAGGAAGGGAGUAAAGUUAAUACCUUUACUCAUUGACGUUACCCGCAGAAGAAGCACCGGCUAACUCCGUGCCAGCAGCCGCGGUAAUACGGAGGGUGCAAGCGUUAAUCGGAAUUACUGGGCGUAAAGCGCACGCAGGCGGUUUGUUAAGUCAGAUGUGAAAUCCCCGGGCUCAACCUGGGAACUGCAUCUGAUACUGGCAAGCUUGAGUCUCGUAGAGGGGGGUAGAAUUCCAGGUGUAGCGGUGAAAUGCGUAGAGAUCUGGAGGAAUACCGGUGGCGAAGGCGGCCCCCUGGACGAAGACUGACGCUCAGGUGCGAAAGCGUGGGGAGCAAACAGGAUUAGAUACCCUGGUAGUCCACGCCGUAAACGAUGUCGACUUGGAGGUUGUGCCCUUGAGGCGUGGCUUCCGGAGCUAACGCGUUAAGUCGACCGCCUGGGGAGUACGGCCGCAAGGUUAAAACUCAAAUGAAUUGACGGGGGCCCGCACAAGCGGUGGAGCAUGUGGUUUAAUUCGAUGCAACGCGAAGAACCUUACCUGGUCUUGACAUCCACGGAAGUUUUCAGAGAUGAGAAUGUGCCUUCGGGAACCGUGAGACAGGUGCUGCAUGGCUGUCGUCAGCUCGUGUUGUGAAAUGUUGGGUUAAGUCCCGCAACGAGCGCAACCCUUAUCCUUUGUUGCCAGCGGUCCGGCCGGGAACUCAAAGGAGACUGCCAGUGAUAAACUGGAGGAAGGUGGGGAUGACGUCAAGUCAUCAUGGCCCUUACGACCAGGGCUACACACGUGCUACAAUGGCGCAUACAAAGAGAAGCGACCUCGCGAGAGCAAGCGGACCUCAUAAAGUGCGUCGUAGUCCGGAUUGGAGUCUGCAACUCGACUCCAUGAAGUCGGAAUCGCUAGUAAUCGUGGAUCAGAAUGCCACGGUGAAUACGUUCCCGGGCCUUGUACACACCGCCCGUCACACCAUGGGAGUGGGUUGCAAAAGAAGUAGGUAGCUUAACCUUCGGGAGGGCGCUUACCACUUUGUGAUUCAUGACUGGGGUGAAGUCGUAACAAGGUAACCGUAGGGGAACCUGCGGUUGGAUCACCUCCUUA